AAUUCGAUUGUUUGAUCAUGGCUCAGGACGAACGCUGGCGGCGUGCUUAACACAUGCAAGUCGAACGGUGAUGGCCAGCUUGCUGGUCUGAUCAGUGGCGAACGGGUGAGUAACACGUGAGCAACCUGCCCUUCACUCUGGAAUAACCACGGGAAACGGUGGCUAAUACCGGAUAUGAGACGUACACGCAUGUGUCGCGUCUGGAAAGAUUUAUCGGUGAAGGAUGGGCUCGCGGCCUAUCAGCUUGUUGGUGGGGUAGUGGCCCACCAAGGCGACGACGGGUAGCCGGCCUGAGAGGGCGACCGGCCACACUGGGACUGAGAUACGGCCCAGACUCCUACGGGAGGCAGCAGUGGGGAAUAUUGCACAAUGGGCGCAAGCCUGAUGCAGCGACGCCGCGUGAGGGAUGACGGCCUUCGGGUUGUAAACCUCUUUCAGCAGGGAAGAAGCGAGAGUGACGGUACCUGCAGAAGAAGCGCCGGCUAACUACGUGCCAGCAGCCGCGGUAAUACGUAGGGCGCAAGCGUUGUCCGGAAUUAUUGGGCGUAAAGAGCUCGUAGGCGGUUUGUCGCGUCUGCUGUGAAAACCUAAGGCUCAACCUUGGGCUUGCAGUGGGUACGGGCAGACUAGAGUGCGGUAGGGGUGACUGGAAUUCCUGGUGUAGCGGUGGAAUGCGCAGAUAUCAGGAGGAACACCGAUGGCGAAGGCAGGUCACUGGGCCGCAACUGACGCUGAG
rnacentral:rRNA from 1 species